AAUCCAUAGUAUGGGCGUUUCUAAAUUAGCAUUGUAAAACACUCCCAUGUUUCGUGAAAAAUUUCUCCUUUUAAUUGUUUAAACAUAGAAAUUUCCUUCCUUAGUUG
rnacentral:snoRNA from 1 species